rnacentral:rRNA from 1 species
GAAUUCACUAGUGAUUCAGGCCUAACACAUGCAAGUAGAGCGAACCCUUCGGGGUGAGCGGCGGACGGGUGAGUAACGCGUGGGUAACCUGCCCUAUACACACGGAUAACGUACCGAAAGGUACGCUAAUACGAGAUAACAUAUUUUUAUCGCAUGGUAGAAAUAUCAAAGCUCCGGCGGUAUAGGAUGGACCCGCGUCUGAUUAGCUAGUUGGUAAGGUAAUGGCUUACCAAGGCGACGAUCAGUAGCCGACCUGAGAGGGUGAUCGGCCACAUUGGAACUGAGACACGGUCCAAACUCC